UGUGUGUCUGUCUCAGCUUGGUGUCAUCUCUGUCAUGUGCCACUGUCCCGACCCGUCCUCAGGUGUUUCCCAGCCCUAGGCCACAGCCCGGGGAAGAGCCGUGUUUCCCACACCGGCCGUGCCGUCCGGGAGGCCACACGCCGCUCCUGUGGGGGAAAGCUGCCACCGCGCCUGGCCACCUGUUUGUUUCUUUUCCGCAGAAGAUUGCUCCUGUCUACCCAUCUUCUCCUUCCUGGGAGAUUUGCAAAUGCCUUGCUCCGCCUCCUUCUCUGUAGAGACACAAAAGGCAGGCAGCGCCAUCACAUUAUCGGCAUUGUGUCAGCCUUGACUUGUUACAAUGCCUUGGAAUUCACACAGCAAGUCACACAGCAUGGCAUAACAUUUCUUACCUAUGUUGAUCCCUUUGGAAUUACAGGAGAUGGAGGGCAAGCAAUCCAGAUCUACCUGGCUAAGAAGAAACACAUGGCAACUGCACUUUUGUCUGCCUUUCUCCCCUCAGCUUUUAAUACUGCCUUUGAUAAGGGCUUUUUACAAAUGAACAGUAAGAUUUUGAAGAAGCCAUCUGUAGGAAGAAAGAAAGUGAUAUAUAUGAGUAUUUCUUUUCACCUUGAUCUAAUAAAUGAUCAGUUAUGUUCUGUAAAUUAGUCCUACAGAUUGUUAGUGUAGAACAGAAAUCUAUCAAUUCAGUACAAAGAGACUUGCUAUUCAUAUUAAGCAAGAGACACAAUCACUUUUUGGCUGUGGACUUAGUUCAGCACAACUCUUGGUGUCAGUCUAAUCUCAGUGAAUGUCUAGAGGAAGAUGUAGAGGAUUCGCUGCAGUCCUUCUAGGUCUUUAAAAUACACCAGUCCUUGGCUUAUUAGCUUUGAACCCUAUGUGGAGAAAUGUUUUUAGAUCUUACAUAAAGUGCUAUUUUGGAGAGAUCUAGCAAGUCUACUCAUUAUUUGGGUUGAACAGUUUUCUCUGUUAUAAAUCCCCAGUUUUCCUGUUUGUGAUUUUGACAAAGUUUUAAAAAUGUUUCAGCAGGAGAUUUUCCAUGACAUCCAGCUUAAGCUACUUUCAAGAUCCAAGUUAAGGAUCAAAAAAUGCUGUUUUUUUCAUGGCCUGAAAUUCUUGAGGGGUCUUUCUUGUAUGGGCAGUGGGAUGACUGACAGUUCUUCCAUUCUUUGGAAAGGGCUCGCAAUGUGGCAAAAAAACUGACUAUAGUGCAGUGGAUGGAGAAAAAGAACAGCCUUUGAAAGACAGAGCAGUUUUUAAGAUACAUUUAAACUGUGAUUUUAGAACCUCACAGAGUCAGUAUUCUCUGAGCACCAGCAGAAGGGAAGCACAUAUUGCAGCCAAGGACAGGGACAGAAAGGACAGUACUGCCCCAAAAAGAUGGACUGUCCCUGUCCCUCUGCCCCAGAUGAUGCAGGGCACUUCAUUCAAGCAGUCUUUGAAGAGGAGGGUGCUGCCACUAAAAGCCAGUGGUAGCUGUACUUAAGGCAGAUGAGGUGCCAGGCUUAAAAAUCCUAAAAAAAAAUCAGGAAUGAGACACAUCAAACAGAAAAAUCAAUUUUCUGGCAAGCUCUGGCUGUCAUGAUUUAUAUUGGUGCAUACAGAUGGGAUCUUCAUUCAUGGAGAUGUUAAUUACACAGACCAUGUG
ensembl:lncRNA